rnacentral:rRNA from 1 species
CGAAAGGAACGCUAAUACCGCAUACGUCCUACGGGAGAAAGCAGGGACCGUUCGGGCCUUGCGCUAUCAGAUGAGCCUAGGUCGGAUUAGCUAGUUGGUGAGGUAAUGGCUCACCAAGGCGACGAUCCGUAACUGGUCUGAGAGGAUGAUCAGUCACACUGGAACUGAGACACGGUCCAGACUCCUACGGGAGGCAGCAGGU